AAAAAUAUAAAAUCAAUGUUUUAUGUUCAAACGACUCUUCUUCUCUCUCCGCCAGUCUCCCUCUUUCCUCCUCUCUCUCGCCGUAUCUGGAGGGUAAGAGGAGGUUUUAACCCGUCUCUUAGCUUCAUCUCCGAUCAAAUCAGAUUAUCUGUUUGUUAUUCGUUAUCUCAUGUGGUUCUCUGUUUCAGUUUGACUCUGGAAUCUGACUUUGUGAUUGUGGCAAAUAUUCUUUUUUAUUAUUCUCAGAUAGCUCAUUUGUUUUGAUUUUGUAAUAAACUCAAUUUGUCCUGUUCUUUAUAUUAGACACAAAGUGUCCCACAUCGGAAGUUGGAACUAA